rnacentral:lncRNA from 1 species
GUCACAGGGGAUGGGCCAUUACCAUUGUGACGUCGGCGCCCAUGGCUACUCUCCCUUUUCGAAACGUUUUGAAAGACAAUGCAACCGUCCCCAUGGAAUCUUAUUGGAGCUCUAGUUGAAAAACGCCCAAAAGAUUUAUGUUAUACAACGUUUGACAUGUUUGAACGAACUUAAAUAUAUAUUUUUUGCUCAUUCCUGACGACAAGUCCGACGCACACGGUACAUUUUCAGUAGCCUUAGAGCGCGCUAACACUAUUGGGACAUAAAUUAUUAACUUUUUCGAACAAAACUACAUUUGUUAUGGACCUUGUAUUCCUAGAAGUGCCUUCUGAUAAAGAUAAUCAAAGGCUCGGUAAUUCAGUAACGCAGUAAAUCAUACUCCAGGGUCACAAAGCUCCCAGAUAAUAACCAAACACCACAGGGGACCUGAGCUCUAGGACCAUGCCUCAGGACUACCUGGUAUGAUGACUCCUUGCUA